rnacentral:rRNA from 1 species
GUCCACGCCGUAAACGAUGGGUGCUAGGUGUGGGGGGUGUCGACUCCCUCCGUGCCGCAGCUAACGCAUUAAGCACCCCGCCUGGGGAGUACGGCCGCAAGGCUAAAACUCAAAGGAAUUGACGGGGGCCCGCACAAGCAGCGGAGCAUGUGGUUUAAUUCGAUGCAACGCGAAGAACCUUACCAGGGCUUGACAUGCACUGGAAAUCCGUAGAAAUACGGCCCUCCUUCGGGACCAGUGCACAGGUGGUGCAUGGCUGUCGU